rnacentral:rRNA from 1 species
CCCUUAGAUGUUCUGGGCCGCACGCGCGCUACACUGACGACGUCAGAGAGUGCAUCCUUCGCCGAAAGGCGCGGGUAAUCUGAUAAACGUCGUCGUGCUGGGGAUAGAUCCUUGCAAUUAUUGAUCUUGAACGAGGAAUUCCUAGUAAGCGCGAGUCAUCAGCUCGCGUUGAUUACGUCCCUGCCCUUUGUACACACCGCCCGUCGCUACUACCGAUUGAAUGGUUUAGUGAGGCCUCCUGACUGGCGCCGACACUCUGUCUCGUGCAGAGAGUGGGAGGCCGGGAAGUUGUUCAAACUUGAUCAUUUAGAGGAAGUAAAAGUCGUAACA